GUGCCAGCCGCCGCGGUAAUACCGGCAGCCCAAGUGAUGGCCGCUGUUAUUGGGUCUAAAGCGUCCGUAGCUGGCCGCACAAGUCCGUCGGGAAAUCCGCCCGCUCAACGGGCGGCCGUCCGGCGGAACCUGUGUGGCUUGGGACCGGGAGGCCUGAGUGGUACGAUCGGGGUAGGAGUGAAAUCCCAUAAUCCCGCACGGACCACCGAUGGCGAAAGCACUUCGAGAAAACGGAUCCGACUGUGAGGGACGAAAGCCAGGGUCUCCAACCGGAUUAGUAACCCUUGUAGUCC
rnacentral:rRNA from 1 species